GACGAACGCUGGCGGCGUGCCUAAUACAUGCAAGUAGAACGCUGAAAGAGGAGCUUGCUUCUCUGGAUGAGUUGCGAACGGGUGAGUAACGCGUAGGUAACCUGCCUGGUAGCGGGGGAUAACUAUUGGAAACGAUAGCUAAUACCGCAUAAUAGUAGAUGUUGCAUGACAUUUGCUUAAAAGGUGCAAUUGCAUCACUACCAGAUGGACCUGCGUUGUAUUAGCUAGUUGGUGAGGUAACGGCUCACCAAGGCGACGAUACAUAGCCGACCUGAGAGGGUGAUCGGCCACACUGGGACUGAGACACGGCCCAGACUCCUACGGGAGGCAGCAGUAGGGAAUCUUCGGCAAUGGACGGAAGUCUGACCGAGCAACGCCGCGUGAGUGAAGAAGGUUUUCGGAUCGUAAAGCUCUGUUGUAAGAGAAGAACGAGUGUGAGAGUGGAAAGUUCACACUGUGACGGUAUCUUACCAGAAAGGGACGGCUAACUACGUG
rnacentral:rRNA from 1 species